rnacentral:rRNA from 1 species
UUCCAUGUGUAGCGGUGAAAUGCGUAGAUAUAUGGAGGAACACCGGUGGCGAAAGCGGCUCUCUGGUCUGUCACUGACGCUGAGGCUCGAAAGCGUGGGUAGCGAACAGGAUUAGAUACCCUGGUAGUNCACGCCGUAAACGCUGAGUGCUAGGUGUUAGGUCCUUUCCGGGACUUAGUGCCGACGCUAACGCAUUAAGCACUCCGCCUGGGGAGUACGACCGCAAGGUUGAAACUCAAAGGAAUUGACGGGGGCCCGCACAAGCGGUGGAGCAUGUGGUUUAAUUCGAAGCAACGCGAAGAACCUUACCAGGUCUUGACAUCCCGAUGCCCGCUCUAGAGAUAGAGUUUUACUUUUUGUACAUCGGAGACAGGUGGUGCAUGGUUGUCGUCAGCUCGUGUCGUGAGAUGUUGGGUUAANNNNNNCACCGAGCGCAACCCUUAUUGUUAGUUGCCAUCAUUAAGUUGGGCACUCUAGCGAGACUGCCGGUAAUAAACCGGAGGAAGGUGGGGAUGACGUCAAAUCAUCAUGCCCCUUAUGACCUGGGCUACACACGUGCUACAAUGGUUGGUACAACGAGUCGCAAGCCGGUGACGGCAAGCUAAUCUCUGAAAGCCAAUCUCAGUUCGGAUUGUAGGCUGCAACUCGCCUACAUGAAGUCGGAAUCGCUAGUAAUCGCGGAUCAGCACGCCGCGGUGAAUACGUUCCCGGGCCUUGUNC